rnacentral:rRNA from 1 species
GGGUAUGCCUUCAGUUCACGGCGAAGUGAAGCGGCAACAGCUUCAAAUUUGAAAUCUGGCCGCAAGGUCCGAGUUGUAAUUUGUAGAGGAUGCUUUUGGCGAGGUGCCUUCCGAGUUCCCUGGAACGGGACGCCAUAGAGGGUGAGAGCCCCGUACGGUAGGACCACCAAGCCUCUGUAAAGCUCCUUCGACGAGUCGAGUAGUUUGGGAAUGCUGCUCUAAAUGGGAGGUGUACGUCUUCUAAAGCUAAAUACCGGCCAGAGACCGAUAGCGCACAAGUAGAGUGAUCGAAAGAUGAAAAGCACUUUGAAAAGAGGGUUAAAAAGUACGUGAAAUUGUUGAAAGGGAAGCAUUCAUGACCAGACUUGGGCUUGGUUGAACAUCCGGCGUUCUCGCCGGUGCACUCUGCCAGUCCAGGCCAGCAUCAGUUUGCCCCGGGGGAUAAAGGCGGCGGGAAUGUGGCUCCCUUCGGGGAGUGUUAUAGCCCGUCGUGUAAUGCCCUGGGGCGGACUGAGGAACGCGCUUCGGCACGGAUGCUGGCGUAAUGGUCAUCAAUGACCCGUCUUGAAACACGGACCAAGGAGUCGUCUUCGUAUGCGAGUGUUCGGGUGUCAAACCCCUACGCGUAAUGAAAGUGAACGUAGGUGAGAGCUUCGGCGCAUCACCGACCGAUCCUGAUGUUCUCGGAUGGAUUUGAGUAAGAGCAUACGGGGCCGGACCCGAAAGAAGGUGAACUAUGCCUGUAUAGGGUGAAGCCAGAGGAAACUCUGGUGGAGGCUCGCAGCGGUUCUGACGUGCAAAUCGAUCGUCAAAUAUGGGCAUGGGGGGCGAAAGACUAAUCGAACCUUCUAGUAGCUGGUUUCCGC